rnacentral:rRNA from 1 species
UACGUAGGGGGCAAGCGUUGUCCGGAAUCAUUGGGCGUAAAGAGCGUGUAGGCGGCUCGGUAAGUCCGCUGUGAAAGUCCAGGGCUCAACCCUGGAAUGCCGGUGGAAACUGUCGAGCUAGAGUCCGGAAGAGGCGAGUGGAAUUCCUGGUGUAGCGGUGAAAUGCGCAGAUAUCAGGAGGAACACCAAUGGCGAAGGCAGCUCGCUGGGACGGUACUGACGCUGAGGAGCGAAAGCGUGGGGAGCGAACAGG